rnacentral:misc_RNA from 1 species
UCCGGGUUGACCCCGGCAGUCUCCCAUGAGUCCCCAACCAAAUGCUGGCAACAUGGAACGAGGGUUGCGCUCGUUGCGGGACUUAACCCAACAUCUCACGACACGAGCUGACGACAGCCAUGCAGCACCUCCCGGCCCGUCCCGAAGGAAAGCUCCCUUUCAGGAGCCGGCAGGCCGGAUUUAGCCCAGGUAAGGUUCUUCGCGUUGCAUCGAAUUAAGCCACAUACUCCACCGCUUGUGCGGGCCCCCGUCAAUUCCUUUGAGUUUCAGUCUUGCGACCGUACUCCCCAGGCGGCGAACUUAACGCGUUAGCUUCGAUACUGAAGGCCUGAUUGCCCCCAACAUCCAGUUCGCAUCGUUUAGGGCGUGGACUAC